UCCUUAUUCCAACCAUAGAAAACAAAUACUGUUACAGAAAUGUCAUAAAAUUAUGUCACAAGGUGCUAACCACUACACUCAUUAGGCUUUCUCUGUCAUUAGAAAUUCUACAAACUGCUUAAACUUUUCUGACACAAUCCUGUAUCCAUACCUGUUGUUGUAGAAUUAAUAAUAACUUAUCUAAUUCACUUCAACUAGCUAAAAAGCAAGAGGAAUCGGGGAGUCCAGGUCAAGUAUAGAUGGAGAGUUUAUUGCCACCCGCAAACGAGAGACAACAAAGCUGAAUGGUAUUCGCGAAUACACACUACCGAAUGAAUCCCGGACAGCUCCUUAUAUCCCCAAUUCUUACACAAUACAAAGUUGGACUUUCAUCAAAUAUAGAAUUUCCCAUCAGGGUCAUACUGUGUGGAUGUCAGCAUACUCCUAUGUCUUCUGAAUCCCAAUGUGUGAAUGUAAGCAUUGUCUUCAGAGAGUACAUCAAUAUGGGAGUAGACUGGACUCUCUGACUGAUGUAUCACAUGGCCCAUCAGGUGAGAAUAUCCUGGACCCACUCACUGGUGUCACACAGCACACAACAUCUAGGUUAGAGGUGAUCAGCUCUUCUCCACCAUUAAAGUAUGUAUGAUAUGUAGGCCUAAUAAUAAUCAUAGUUUAACAUAGAAUGUAAGGUUAAUUUCUACCACAUAUCCCCCCUUUGAGGCUUGCCAAAGCCUCAAUAAAAGAAAACAAUAAUAACAUCUCUAUUACUUAAAUUUCCCCAUGUCCCCUUUAUCUAUUAAUUAGUCUAUGAGAUCAUGUGCUGGCAAGUGGAUCAGAAUAGCACCACAUCUGGCUACCCAGAAAAAACACCACUAAUCUAAAGCAGGAGUCUCAACCUGCAUCCAGGGAUCGCAACCUGGCGAUGAAAAAGAUUGCCAAAUGUGGUGUAUUAUGUCCAAUAUUCUUGAGUCCCGCAAAGUAUUCAUAAAAAGAUCAAAAAACCUAUCUAAACAUAACACCACAAUGUUUCCACACUUAGAAUACAACUAAAUCAAAUGUGUACCUAAAAUACCCUCAUAAAAAUCAUAAAAAUCAUAACAAUAUGUUUUCAGCAUGCAUUGAAAAUCAUCAUUCUCCAAAAUAUGUGACAUAAUAGUAAACUAAAGAUUAAUAAUUUUAAAAAUAUGCAUCGUGAUAAUGUACCCAAACAUGGACAUUUCAGCAUUUGAAAUUUUGAGAUUGUCUGUAGGUUUGCACUGAACGGCUCAGGUGAUGAUGUCGUUGCGCAGGAUACACGUGGGGGGUUUUGGACAGAGUCAUAGAUGUUGCUCCUGUCGGCUGAAAUCAAGCCUUGUAGAUCACGAGGCCGGCUCACAUUGAGAGGUUACUAGCACAUCACGUGAGCCUCCACCUGGUGUUUGAUAUAUCACAGUCCAAUGUUCGUCCCUCCUUGGCAAGGGCAUAUUUUCCCAACCGUCCAGUAGGACCGGGUCGGGCCUCCUUUGGAUCCUCUUUUGUGCCUCCAGGUUCAACUGGAUCUCCAUGUACUCUUGGAUGACACCUGGUGCUCCUUUAGCACUCACUGCUCACAGGCUCUCCAUCCGUCCUGAGAAGGGGUUAUUGAUUCCGGAGUUCUCUGCCAACUCUAAUCUGAGGCACUAUAAUCCUUCCAGCGCCCUGGCCACCGACCCAUCCAGAGCUGUGUUGUUGGGGAUAAACGCACAACAUGUCGCCCCUAUCAUCCCACACACCCCCCUAGGCUCUGCCAAUGCAUAACCAAGACUAGCUUAAUUUGAUAGAUCAUUCAGGAGAUGGCAUCUAAUUGUUCUGAUAGUCCUUCUGCUGUAACCAUGGUAAAUUUGACAAAACGUUGCUGAUUUUAUAUAGAUUAUACAAUCAAUAUUUUUUGUGAAUGGUUGAACACAAAAACAGAAUUCAUUCAAACCCCUGCCACUAUUUAAUUGCAUCAUGUGGCUGUUACUCCUUGCUUGGCGGAGGUAGUUUGUAGGCUCCGGGUGUGUCUGCAUAUGGCUCUGGAACUUUGCGUUUCUAAUGUAGAAAUACAAACUCAUGUACAGCAGUUAGUUGUUCAAAAACAUAUUUCCUUUGAUUCUAUUUUUAAUUGUUCUAAUGGAAGUCCCUUAUGGGGCCCUUGAAAUGUAAGUGAAAGCAUGAAUCUAACCGUAAGCAUUAUGUGCAAAGUUAGCUGUGUCAUUCUAUUAGCUUGUAUGUGAUAACUCAGUAUUGCUAUAGAUAUUGAUUGAUGUCUAAUUGAUAUCUCUCAGAGAGAUACAAGGUACUCACCUUGCUUCUGGAAACAUUGGACCCGAAAUUUGUAUGUGUUUUAAAUAUGUUUGUAUUAUAAUUGAUAAUGCCUCAGUUGCAUUCCUUCUUAAAUGUUUUAUGUGUGUAUAGAUGUGUGUGUGUGUGUGUGUGUGUGUGUGUGUGUGUGUGUGUG
ensembl:lncRNA